rnacentral:tRNA from 6 species
UCCUCUGUAGUUCAGUCGGUAGAACGGCGGACUGUUAAUCCGUAUGUCACUGGUUCGAGUCCAGUCAGAGG